AGUCGUAACAAGGUCUCCGUUGGUGAACCAGCGGAGGGAUCAUUGAUGGAAUAAACGCCCUCACAGGCGCUACCCAUAAACCCUUUGUGAAUACUACCUAAAAAUGUUGCCUCGGCAUUGGUUGGCCUCUUUUGGAGGUCCCUUCUCUUUAGGGGGAAGGAGCAGACCGGCCGGUGGCCCUAUAAACUCUUUGUUUUUUGUAAUAUCAUCUGAGUAAAACAACUAAAAUGAAUCAAAACUUUCAACAACGGAUCUCUUGGUUCUGGCAUCGAUGAAGAACGCAGCGAAAUGCGAUAAGUAAUGUGAAUUGCAGAAUUCAGUGAAUCAUCGAAUCUUUGAACGCACAUUGCGCCCGGUGGUAUUCCACCGGGCAUGCCUGUUCGAGCGUCAUUUCAACCCUCAAAGCCCUUGGCUUUGGUGUUGGAGGAAUACCCUGUAAAACGGGUACCCUCUGAAAUUUAGUGGCGGGCUCGCUAGAAUUUUGAGCGUAGUAAUUUUACCUCGUUUUUAAAGACUAGUGGGACUUCUUGCCGUAAAACCCCCCCAACUUUCUGAAAAUGA
rnacentral:rRNA from 1 species